AUGGAGUGGGUAGCAGAGCAGCAGGAUCUGGGUGGCCUCGGGCUCGCCGGCAUCUGCCGCGAGGUCGCCCGAGUACUCUGCGCCACCAUCUUCAACUCCUGCUUAGGUCUCCUUAUGCUGCUCUCCCUGAUCUUGCCCUGCGCCAACCACGUCCUUAGCUCCCGCGUCGACUCCAACCAAGGCAGCCUCCUCCGCCUCGCUGCGUACUGGGCCGCCUUACUUCUCUUCAAGCUCCUCUACUUCGUUCUCUGCUACGCGCUCACGCUCUUCUGCACCUGCGCCUACGUGUUCCUAGUCGCCUCUCUCUAUUGCACCGGCGGCGAUUUCGCCGCCGCCAAUCGCGGCCUCCACGCCCUCCCACUCGAUCCAGGCAGGCGGCUUCAUCGCACCUUCUUCUUCCUUGCAAUCCCUCUACUCAUCACAUUCUACGCCGGCGCGCAAGCCUGGAUCGCGCUCCAGCACCUGGACGCUCCGCGCGGGGUCAUCCUGCCGCUGCAGCUGAUGGGCGGGGCCGCGUGCCUUGCCGGCGCCGGCUACGUCACCGUCGUCUGCCAGCUGGCCUGCGUGGUCUCCCUCCUCGAGGACCCCAGGCUCCUCGCCGCCGUACGCAGGAGCCGCGCGCUCCUCGCAGGCAAGUUCUGGCCGGCGGCGGCCAUCUUCCUCACGCUCGACGCCUGCAUCGUGGCUCUGCUCAUGGCCUACACGCCUCUGGUGGUGGUGAUGGACGACGCGCUGGGGCUGGGUAUCGCUUUCCCGCUGGCUGCGGGAGUUGGGAUGACAGUCGCUCUGUGGGCGGCGCUCGUCGUCACGCUGGUGGCGCAGCCGGUAGUGUACCUGGUCUGCAAAAACCACCACCACAAGAUCGUUGACAAGGUCCACCUCAACUACGUCGGAGACUACGAGCGGCUCGCCGUCGACGGCGACAAUGCUGGCGUGGAGCUGCAGCCGGCGCCGCAGGUCACUACAACUGCCUAG
rnacentral:rRNA from 1 species